UACGUAGGGUGCAAGCGUUGUCCGGAAUUAUUGGGCGUAAAGAGCUCGUAGGCGGUCUGUCACGUCGGCUGUGAAAUCCCGAGGCUCAACCUCGGGUCUGCAGUCGAUACGGGCAAACUAGAGUAUUGCAGGGGAGACUGGAAUUCCUGGUGUAGCGGUGAAAUGCGCAGAUAUCAGGAGGAACACCGGUGGCGAAGGCGGGUCUCUGGGCCAUUACUGACACUGAGAAGCGAAAGCAUGGGGAGCGAACAGG
rnacentral:rRNA from 1 species